AGUAAGCUCUCAUUCUCAGAUUCAAUUCGAAUGUCUCACUUGUUGUUUGGUUUCCUGAUUAGGUUAAAUUUGUGUUGGUUUUGGUGAAUUUGGGUUUGAAGUUUCAGUGUGGUGUGAAUGAUUGAUGUAUUUGUUUUCCUUGGAGGGUCCUUUUUUUUCCUUUUUUUUUUCACCAAGUGCUUGUUCACGGCAUUGCUUGUCCUCCAGUAUGAGUAUCUCCCGUGCUGCAGUUGGUUCAGGAAGAAAUUUUAGAAGGGCAGUUGUGUUUGGGAAAACUCAUGUCGUUAAGCCCAAAGGGAAGCACCAAGCAACUAUUGUCUGGCUACAUGGGCUUGGGGACGUUGGCUCAAGAUCAUUCCUUUCUGUCCCAAUGUCCCAAGGAAAAUCACCUAGCAUACUAGUUUAUUGUACAUUGCUUCCUUUUUUUACGGUUUACUUCACAGUCUCGAUCCGGGGUAUCUGGAAUGGUAGAAAUUGUAAAUGAUCUGAACACUAUUGACUACCAGUAAUGAAUGUAACUUAUGUUAGAGUUUUCAGUUUUGACAUUGUUCACCGGCUUGAUUGAUAUAAUAAACUUACUUGAUACACGGCUAGUUUAAUCAUUAUCUUAAGUCUUUUUCUUUUUCUGA